GACGAACGCUGGCGGCGUGCCUAAUACAUGCAAGUCGAGCGAAUGGAUUAAGAGCUUGCUCUUAUGAAGUUAGCGGCGGACGGGUGAGUAACACGUGGGUAACCUGCCCAUAAGACUGGGAUAACUCCGGGAAACCGGGGCUAAUACCGGAUAACAUUUUGAACCGCAUGGUUCGAAAUUGAAAGGCGGCUUCGGCUGUCACUUAUGGAUGGACCCGCGUCGCAUUAGCUAGUUGGUGAGGUAACGGCUCACCAAGGCAACGAUGCGUAGCCGACCUGAGAGGGUGAUCGGCCACACUGGGACGGAAACACGGCCCAGACUCCUACGGGAGGCAGCAGUAGGGAAUCUUCCGCAAUGGACGAAAGUCUGACGGAGCAACGCCGCGUGAGUGAUGAAGGCUUUCGGGUCGUAAAACUCUGUUGUUAGGGAAGAACCAGUGCUAGUUGAAUAAGCUGGCACCUUGACGGUACCUAACCAGAAAGCCACGGCUAACUACGUGCCAGCAGCCGCCGUAA
rnacentral:rRNA from 1 species